AGGUAGCUCAGUUGGUAGAGCAGUGGACUGAAAAUCCGCGUGUCGGUGGUUCAAAUCCGCCCCUGG
rnacentral:tRNA from 1 species